GCAUUAAUGGGGUAGUGGUAACCUGGGUCGUUGCCAUAAAUGUGAAUUGGAACGGAAUAUCGACCCGCCGGGGGUUCGAUUCCCCCUUAAUGCA